rnacentral:rRNA from 1 species
CCUACGGGAGGCAGCAGUGGGGAAUAUUGCACAAUGGGCGCAAGCCUGAUCCAGCAACGCCGCGUGAGGGAUGACGGCCUUCGGGUUGUAAACCUCUUUCAGCACAGAACGAAAGCGCAAGUGACGGUAUGUGCAGAAGAAGGACCGGCCAACUACGUGCCAGCAGCCGCGGUAAU